GUUAGGUUGUGACUCAUUUAUACCCAGAGAAUCAGAGUGAUGUCGUUAGGUUGUGACUCAUCUAUACCCAGAGAAUCAGAGUGAUGUUGUUAGGUUGUGACUCAUCUAUACCCAGAGAAUCAGAGUGAUGUUGUUAGGUUGUGACUCAUCUAUACCCAGAGAAUCAGAGUGAUGUUGUUAGGUUGUGACUCAUCUAUACCCGGAGAAUCAGAGUGAUGUCGUUAGGUUGUGACUCAGCUGUAUCCAGAGAAUCAGAGUGAUGUUGUUAGGUUGUGACUCAGCUGUAUCCAGAGAAUCAGAGUGAUGUUGUUAGGUUGUGACUCAGCUGUAUCCAGAGAGUCAGAGUGAUGUCGUUAAGUUGUGACUCAGCUGUCAUGCUAGGUUUUUUGUACUGCUGGGUCUCUGUCAUCUGACUGUUUUCUAUGGGGAUUCGUGCAGUGAUAAAGGUCUUUUUAAUAAUUAUACCGAAUUAUGACUUAAGAGGACAAAAGUAAAUUAUACAUUUUGUUAAAGUUUAACUAUGAGACUGUAAUAUAAUACAGUAUGUGUGUUUAUAGUCAGAUGAUGUCAUAUGUAUCUGAGAGAGGAGCUGUGAGAUCUGUGUUUGUAAAAGUUCUCUCCUGGUCUGGGC
rnacentral:lncRNA from 1 species